rnacentral:snRNA from 1 species
ACAUGAUAUUUUCUUAUGUGAU